rnacentral:rRNA from 1 species
GACGAACGCUGGCGGCGUGCCUAAUACAUGCAAGUGGAACGCAUUUUAAUCACCGUAGCUUGCUACACCGAAUAAAAUGAGUCGCGAACGGGUGAGUAACGCGUAGGUAACCUACCUUCUAGCGGGGGACAACUAUUGGAAACGAUAGCUAAUACCGCAUAAGACAUUAUAUCGCAUGAUAGGAUGUUAAAAGAUACAAUUGUAUCACUAGGAGAUGGACCUGCGUUGUAUUAGCUAGUUGGUGAGGUAACGGCUCACCAAGGCAGCGAUACAUAGCCGACCUGAGAGGGUGAUCGGCCACACUGGGACUGAGACACGGCCCAGACUCCUACGGGAGGCAGCAGUAGGGAAUCUUCGGCAAUGGGGGCAACCCUGACCGAGCAACGCCGCGUGAGUGAAGAAGGUUUUCGGAUCGUAAAGCUCUGUUGUAAGCGAAGAAGAGUGUUAGGAGUGGAAAAUCUAACACAUGACGGUAGCUUACCAGAAAGGGACGGCUAACUACGUGCCAGCAGCCGCGGUAAUACGUAGGUCUCGAGCGUUGUCCGGAUUUAUUGGGCGUAAAGCGAGCGCAGGCGGUUAGAUAAGUCAGAAGUUAAAGGCUGUGGCUCAACCAUAGUAUGCUUUUGAGACUGUUUAACUUGAGUGCAGAAGGGGAGAGUGGAAUUCCAUGUGUAGCGGUGAAAUGCGUAGAUAUAUGGAGGAACACCGGUGGCGAAAGCGGCUCUCUGGUCUGUGACUGACGCUGAGGCUCGAAAGCGUGGGUAGCGAACAGGAUUAGAUACCCUGGUAGUCCACGCCGUAAACGAUGAGUGCUAUGUGUUAGACCCUUUCCGGGGUCUAGUGCCGUAGCUAACGCAUUAAGCACUCCGCCUGGGGAGUACGACCGCAAGGUUGAAACUCAAAGGAAUUGACGGGGGCCCGCACAAGCGGUGGAGCAUGUGGUUUAAUUCGAAGCAACGCGAAGAACCUUACCAGGUCUUGACAUCCCUCUGACCGGUCUAGAGAUAGGCUUUCCCUUUUGGGCAGAGGAGACAGGUGGUGCAUGGUUGUCGUCAGCUCGUGUCGUGAGAUGUUGGGUUAAGUCCCGCAACGAGCGCAACCCUUAUUGUUAGUUGCCAUCAUUGAGUUGGGCACUCUAGCGAGACUGCCGGUAAUAAACCGGAGGAAGGUGGGGAUGACGUCAAAUCAUCAUGCCCCUUAUGACCUGGGCUACACACGUGCUACAAUGGUUGGUACAACGAGUCGCAAGCCGGUGACGGCAAGCUAAUCCCUUAAAGCCAAUCUCAGUUCGGAUUGUAGGCUGCAACUCGCCUACAUGAAGUCGGAAUCGCUAGUAAUCGCGGAUCAGCACGCCGCGGUGAAUACGUUCCCGGGCCU